CACCAUGUUCUGUUGCACAACAUGCCACACAAAGGUAAACCUCACCAUCACGUUUUCUGCCGUGACAGUGUGAAGGGGAAGUUUGAGUGGAUGAGGGCUGUUGUGCAGGGCUGCACCACAACCGCCCAUCAGUUGCCCUGCUGUGUCCGAGCUGAGCACACCACAUCUCCACCUGGGGAAGAAGAAGACAGAAGAGUGUUCACACAGAGAUGCUGCUCCUGGCCCUGGUCCUGGCACUGCUGCCCUGCUCUGCUCAGGUCACUGAAGAUGUAAACACCCCAUAUGUGGGCUCAGCAAGUGAAAGCCCCUCCCUCGCCGAGGCCAGAGACCAGCUCCCACCCCGAGCUCCGGCCUCUCAGUGCUGUGACAGCCUGAAGGAGCCACUCUCGCAGCUGGUUGAGGAGCAGCGUGAGGCCAGGGGCUGGUACGCCGAGAUGGUCAAGUUGCUCACGCAGCUGCUGCAGGAGAACAAAGAGCUGGCCAGCAGUCAGACUGAGGUCCUGAAAGUCCUGCAGGUCAUGCAGGAGCAGCAGGAGAAAUCGCUCGGCCACCUGGGAAAUUUGGCACGCCAUCAGAGCCUCCUCGUGGAGAACCACCAGGCCCUGCUCAUACAAGUCUCACGCAUCACUGCUCAGAUCCAGGAACUGACCAAGAAGCAGAGUCAAUAGAAGCUGUGUUAGCCCUGAACCCCGAACCCUGAACUUUAACCCGACUAAUCUCUCUGAUCCCUGCUGGAGGCUGCCCAGCCGGGCAGAAGAACUAGAAAAAAUGAUGUCUGACAGUUCAUGAUAUGCUAAUACAUAUAAUCACAUACCAAUUAACAUGAUCUAUAAGAAAUAUUACCAGAUCAUUUCUUUUUGUAAUUGAUUUCUUUGUAUCUCAUUCUGUAUCUGAAGCAUUAACAAUGAAAAAAUGAAUAAAGAAAAAUAGCAUGCUUACUAGA
ensembl:lncRNA